ACCCACCCCCGUGCAGCUUGGGAGCUCCCCUUCUCUCUCCCCUGUUCUUCCAAGACCAAGAUCCCUUUGUUGGACGAGGCAAAAUUCCCAAGGAUCACCGAUUAAUCUUUUUCUCUCCCGCUUGGAGCAUAGCAGGAGGCGGCCCACACAGGAUAGUCAUGGCCAAACACAAACUGAAGACCAUUGAUUCUUUCUUCAAGAAGAAAAUUAGAAUUGAUGCAGAGUCGGUUGUUGUUUGCUCUGAUUUCGAAGAGGAAGAGGAAGGGGAAGGGGAAGACGAAGAAGAAGAAGAGGAGGACGAGGAAGAAAAUGCCCCACUCAGAAGAAGAAGAAGAAGAAGAAUUGGAGAAAGGGUUCAAGAAUUGGAGAAAGGGUUCAAUCCGUAAUGAAAUUGGCGAUGCCAAGUAUUGCUUGCUUGUCGAUGAAUCAAGAGAUGAAUCUAAAAGAGAGCAAAUGGCCCUUGUUCUCCGUUUUGUUGAUAAACAAGGUUUCAGUCGAGAACAUUUUUUCGAUCUUGUUCAUGUUAAAGAUACAUCUUCAGCAAGUUUGAAACAAGAAAUAGAUUUUGUUUUGUCUCAACAUGACUUGGAUAUUCAAAAUAUUCGGGGACAAGGAUUUGAUGGUGCUAGUAAUAUGCGUGGAGAGUGGAAUGGUCUACAAGCCAAGUUCAUGGAAGAGUGUCCAUACGCAUACUAUGUUCAUUGUUUUGCUCAUCAGCUCCAAUUAGCUCUUAUUGGUGCAUCUAAAGAAGUAAUCGAAGUCCAUUGCUCUUGUUGUCAAUACUGUUGUGUCUUCUAGCAAGAGAAAUGAUGAGUUGCAUGCUAAUCAAGUGGCUGAAAUGGAGCAUCUCAUUGAGCUUAGUGAGCUUCAAACAGGGAGUGGAGCAAACCAGAUUGGAACUUUGCGGCGGCCUUGUGACACUAGAUGGAGUUCUCACUACGGUUCAGUUUGUAGCCUCUUGAAGCUUUACGGUCCUACAUUUUUGGUACUAAAAAUGUUGCUACUACUAGUGGAUUUGGUUCUUCACCUUGUGCACGAGCUAAGGCUGCUGGUGCUGUUAAGUUGAUGAUGUCAUUUGACUUCGUAUUUAUCCUUCAUGUCAUGAAAGAGCUUAUGGGAAUAACAGAUAUGUUAUGCAAGAAACUGCAGCAGAAAUCUCAAGACAUUGUGAAUGCCAUGGAUGAUGUUUCCACUACAAAGAAGUUGGUACAACAGCUAAGAGAUGAUGGCUGGGCUAAAUUGAUUAGUGAUGUGAAUUUAUUUUGCCAGAAACAUGGAAUUACUGCUCCAAAUAUGACCGACAACUAUGUAGAUUUCAUUCGGUCUCAUGCAAAUGAUGAAAGUACAUCCGAGCAUCACUAUCGGUAUGAUAUUUUUACAGUUGCAGUUGAACAACAAUUACAUGAACUCAAUUGCAGGUUUAGCGAACAAGCAACAGAGAUUCUCAUCCUAUGCAAUUCUUUGAAUCCCAAGGACUCGUUUAGUUCAUUAAACAUUGAUGAUGUAUGUUCUCUCGCUUCAAAAUACUACCCCGCUGACUUUUCAGAACAAGAAAGAAACAAUUUGAGAUGUCAGCUACAACAUUAUGAGCUUGAUGUACCUACAAAUCCAAGAUUUCAGAAUCUGUCAACUAUAGGAGAUCUUUGUCAACAACUUGCAAAAACAGAAAAAAUCAGUCGACUAUUAUUUGAUUGACAGGUUAAUUCGACUUGUUCUCACUUUACCGGUCACAACCGCAACAACAGAGCGUGCAUUUUCGGCAAUGAAACUUGUUAAAACAAGACUCCGAAACAAAAUGGAAGACAUGUUUCUAAGAGAUUUGCUUGCUGAUCUACAUUGAGAAAGAGAUUGCAAUAGGAUUCUCAACCGAUGCAAUUAUUGAUGAAUUCAAUACGGAAAGCCGUCGUGUCGAGUUCGAGUGAUAAUUUUUAGUUCAUCAUUUUGCUUCAGACCUAUCUAUGUGUAGACAUAUGCCUGUGUUAUCAACACUGAAUUGCUUAUAAUCGUAGAUAUUUUGCUA